UACGUAGGGUGCGAGCGUUUAAUCGGAAUUACUGGGCGUAAAGCGUGCGUAGGCGGUUGGCAAAGUCAGCUGUGAAAGCCCCGGGCUUAACCUGGGAAUGGCGGUUGAAACUAGUCGAUUUGAAUCUGGCAGAGGGGGGGUGGAAUUCCACGUGUAGCAGUGAAAUGCGUAGAGAUGUGGAGGAACACCGAUGGCGAAGGCAGCCCCCCUGGGCUGAGAUUGACGCUCAGGCACGAAAGCGUGGGGAGCAAACAGG
rnacentral:rRNA from 1 species